AUUGAACGCUUGCGGCAUGCCUUACACAUGCAAGUCGAACGGUAACGGGUCCUUCGGGAUGCCGACGAGUGGCGAACGGGUGAGUAAUAUAUCGGAACGUGCCCAGUAGUGGGGGAUAACUGCUCGAAAGAGCAGCUAAUACCGCAUACGACCUGAGGGUGAAAGGGGGGGAUCGCAAGACCUCUCGCUAUUGGAGCGGCCGAUAUCAGAUUAGCUAGUUGGUGGGGUAAAGGCCUACCAAGGCAACGAUCUGUAGUUGGUCUGAGAGGACGACCAGCCACACUGGGACUGAGACACGGCCCAGACUCCUACGGGAGGCAGCAGUGGGGAAUUUUGGACAAUGGGCGCAAGCCUGAUCCAGCAAUGCCGCGUGCAGGAAGAAGGCCUUCGGGUUGUAAACUGCUUUUGUCAGGGAAGAAAUCUUCUGGGCUAAUACCCCGGGAGGAUGACGGUACCUGAAGAAUAAGCACCGGCUAACUACGUGCCAGCAGCCGCGGUAGUACGUAGGGUGCGAGCGUUAAUCGGGAUUACUGGGCGUAAGCGUGCGCAGCGGCUUUUGCAGACAGAUGUGAAAUCCCCGGGGCUCAACCCUGGGAACUGCAUUUGUGACGGCAAGGGNAGAGUACGGCCAGAGGGGGAGGGAANNCCGCGGGAAGCCAGUGAAAAUGCGUAGAUAUGCGGAGGAACACCAAUUGGCGAAGGCAACCCCCCUGGGCCUGUACUGACGCUCAUGCACGAAAGCGUGGGGGAGCAAACUGGAUUAGAUACCCUGGUAGUCCACGCCUAAAACGAUGUCAACUGGUUGUUGGACGGCUUGCUGUUCAGUAACGAAGCUAACGCGUGAAGUUGACCGCCUGGGGAGAACCGCCGCAAGGUUGAAACUCAAAGGAAUUGACGGGGACCCGCACAAGCGGUGGAUGAUGUGGUUUAAUUCGAUGCAACGCGAAAAACCUUACCUACCCUUGACAUGUCAAGAAUUCUGCAGAGAUGUGGAAGUGCUCGAAAGAGAACUUGAACACAGGUGCUGCAUGGCCGUCGUCAGCUCGUGUCGUGAGAUGUUGGGUUAAGUCCCGCAACGAGCGCAACCCUUGUCAUUAGUUGCUACGCAAGAGCACUCUAAUGAGACUGCCGGUGACAAACCGGAGGAAGGUGGGGAUGACGUCAGGUCCUCAUGGCCCUUAUGGGUAGGGCUACACACGUCAUACAAUGGCCGGUACAGAGGGCUGCCAACCCGCGAGGGGGAGCCAAUCCCAGAAAACCGGUCGUAGUCCGGAUCGUAGUCUGCAACUCGACUGCGUGAAGUCGGAAUCGCUAGUAAUCGCGGAUCAGCUUGCCGCGGUGAAUACGUUCCCGGGUCU
rnacentral:rRNA from 1 species